GAUGAACGCUGGCGGCGUGCCUAAUACAUGCAAGUCGAGCGAACAGACGAGGAGCUUGCUCCUCUGACGUUAGCGGCGGACGGGUGAGUAACACGUGGAUAACCUACCUAUAAGACUGGGAUAACUUCGGGAAACCGGAGCUAAUACCGGAUAAUAUAUUGAACCGCAUGGUUCAAUAGUGAAAGACGGUUUUGCUGUCACUUAUAGAUGGAUCCGCGCCGCAUUAGCUAGUUGGUAAGGUAACGGCUUACCAAGGCAACGAUGCGUAGCCGACCUGAGAGGGUGAGCGGACACACGGGAACUGAGACAGGGACCAGACUACUACGGGAGGCAGCAGUAGGGAAUCUUCCGCAAUGGGCGAAAGCAUGACGGAGCAACGCCGCGUGAGUGAUGAAGGUCUUCGGAUCGUAAAACUCUGUUAUUAGGGAAGAAAAAAUGUGUAAGUAACUAUGCACGUAUUGACGGUAACUAAUCAGAAAGCCACGGCUAACUACGUG
rnacentral:rRNA from 1 species